rnacentral:lncRNA from 1 species
CCAAAAAGAGAAGCCUUCUCUUUCCCUCUCUAAACCUCUCUCUCUCCUAGCUCCUAGAGUGUUACUCCAAAAGUGGAGAUUUGGUGGAAGAAGCUUACUUGGAGGUGGAGCUUUCCUCUUCCUCACCAUUGGCUUGAAGAGAGCUUGGGUUUGGAUCGGAAGGAAUCGACGGCCGUAAAUCGCGCUACUAGGCUACCCGCUUUGUGUCGACGCCACAAGGUGGGGGGUGCUAUCCGAAAUAGCCGGGUUUCAUUCUAUGUCUAAGUUCUACUAUUUUUUGAUCAUAUAUCAUCAUGUGUAGAAUAGUGAGAAUCCUAUGAGUUGUGGUAAUUUCAUGCUUAGUGUGAGGGAUGAUGAUCUAUGAUUGCAUGAUACUUGUAGGAAUAUCUAUUUGCAUGAUGUUGAGAUAGAUAUGGACAUGUAUGUUGCAUGAGAACCUUUAUAUGAUGCCAAUAUAGAUGUAUGUAUACAUAUAGCAUGAGUUGCUAGUGGACAUAUGCAUGUGGAUAUGAUGUGAGAAUAGACUAGAUUCAUGAGGAACUAGUAUGUGAACCAAUGACAUUUGAGAAUUGGAAACCUAUGCAUAUGUGGCCGACUUGAGCAUGCCUUGUGAUGAGGACUUGAUGAUACUCGCUUUGUCUGUUAUAGCUUGUGGAUGGUCGCGCCUCCCAAGCAGUGAGCUCCGGAGUUGUAUCACAAUUGCGAAUAAAGCGGGGGGCCUCUCCCGUCAGACGUCACGGUCCCGUGACAGUGUGUGCGAGUGGUUCGACCUUCGGGCGAAUCGAUUGGACUUGGCAAAAGGCAUGAUCAUGGCAUUUCAUAUAUCGUUUGCAUACAUGAUAGAACUUAAAUUCAUACUUGUUGACAUGAUUAGUAAAGGCAUAGCUACACAUUUGAGCAUGAUAUAGAUGUAGAUGAGCAAGGUAGGCUUGUUGUUAUAUCUCUUAUUUCUUUGACAUAUUAUCCUCUUUAUUGUUUCUAUGCCUUUCUUGGACCUAGUGGGAAAAUCGGCGGGGUCGGCGGCCGAACCCACUGGGAACUUUGUUUAGUUCUCACACCCUGUUUUACAGAGCCUAGUACGAGCGCGUGCGUCGAGGAUCGCGGCAAGGGCAUCGCGCCCUAGAUAGAGUGGACAAUCGACAUUAGCUCGCUACCCCCUAUGUAUAGCA